UGAGGGGGACAGCGGGGGAGGGGCCGGGGACUAGGCUCCCCGGUCCGGAGCUCAGGGCCUGGGCAGGACGGUCCCGCAGGCUGGACGUGGCCCGCAGGCCAUAGUUUGCCCACGUCUGGGCUAGCGCCCACCUAACAAAGUACCUAGGCCAGUGCCACUUAACCAAGGCUAAGUGUACCCCUGGGGGGUAGACAGGUCUUCCAGGGGGAACAUCAACUCAUCUAGAUAUUUGCCUAGCUUUAGAACAGGCUACAUAAAUAGCACCAGCGAAAUCAGUACAAACUACAAUUUUAUACGGACGGUGACUUAUUUAUACCACUCUACAUACUACGCACUGAAAUAGCUCCCACCCCAUCCUUCUGCUAGGCACGGUGCAGGCUGCAGCUCCAGAGAGCUCCAUGUGCUACUUGCCUCCUCGGUUUCAAAACCACUUACAAGCUGCCUUGAAAUUGCCGGAUGAAAAGUGUGAGAACAUUCUUCCAUGCUGUCUUCUCACCUGCCUUGAAACAGGGACUGAAAGUGAUCUGACUUCAUUUCAACUCUGUACCUGCAGCUGAGAUUCUGUUUUGUAUCUUGAUUCUUCUUUGGUAUGUCAGAAGGGAUGUCCUUAUACCUCCUGUGGCAACAGGAGCUGCAGGGGGAGCUGUUACUCAACUUUGGCCUUGCUUGAUGGGACACUGUAGCCUUCUCGACACUGCUGCCUAAACACCCAGUCUCAUACUAAUACCAGGGCUAAUACGAGCUCAG